AUGGAAAUGGUCCACGAGGGCCCAUUUCUCUCUACCCCAUCAGAAGUGUGUGGUGCUUCCCUUCUGUGUCAUGGAGCCACACUUGUAUGUGCAGAGUUGCCUUUGAACACAGAUGCAGGAUGCUUCGGAAGUGAUGGAUUGAGGUGCGCACAUAAUGACCUGUUCCAGUCAGAAACUGAGAGCCUCAGAAGGAGUUGCCAAGCAGAUCUAUAGAAUGAGAUUCAGCUAACUUGGCGUAUCUUCUGGGGAUUCAGAAGGGCCAUCAGCUACCAGCACCCACAGGAGGAAAACCAGCCAAACAAAGGUAUAAUUUUUGCAAGUUUUAGUGGAAGUGCAGUGAGCUUUAUUUCUUUCAUUCAUUACUGGUAUAUAUUCAUGAUUUUCUCCCUAGUAAAGGAGGACCUUAUAAAUAUUUGUUAAAUACAUUGAUGCACUACAAUGAGUUGACUGGAGUUAUGAACCUUGGGUCAGACUUAGGGUUUCAGACAUCAAACAGGAAUAAAACAGUUUUCACCCUGGGUGAACUGGUCCA
rnacentral:lncRNA from 1 species